UCACGAGACUAUAUGAUGGAAUCUGCAUGAUGUAUUCCUCUUUUUCCUAUUUUUAUAAUUUAUUGUAGACAUGUACAUAGGUUAGUAUUUACUAUAAAUAUCGAGUUACUCACUCGUAUUCCUCACUUAUAAGGAAAAUGUUUGUUUGACACCAAGAUUUGACACAAAUUUGACACCGUCCAGGUAUCAAAUUGUUAUUGGCUGAUGUUUUAUUUACUGAAACGUUUUUUUUAAUAAAGUGGCAGGGGCAGAACUGGAAUAAUGAGUGUUUGAAUAUCAUUUUGCAAUUGGCGGUUUCAUUUUCGUUUCAAGAACAGUUUCGAACACUUUCGACUUUCGCCUCCUCUCAACGUCUUCGUUCUUCGUCCACCACCAUCUCGACCAUUGCUGCGUUCUCUCUGCGUUCUUUGUCCACCACCAUCUCCAUAGCUGCCUUCUCUCCGUUGCUCCGUUGAGAACAGUUGUCGAGAACAGUUUCGAACACCAACGCCUCCUCUCAACGCCUUCUAUGUCCACCAUCACUAUAACUAUUGCUUCAUUCUCUCCAUUGCUCCCUUCGUUUCAUUUUGUCUCAACCAGGGAAAGGCGACGAUUGAGAAGGUAAGGGCGUAUUUUGGCAUUGGGGUUUUUGGUUUGGGUGGUGGUCAUGUUUCUGUGGUCAUUUGCUGUCAUUGUCGCUUUUUGGUGGUUUGGGUUUUUAUAAAUGAUUUUGCUUCUCAUUAUAAUGUGGGUGUUCAGGGGUUAAUUUUUUUUUGUAAACCCUAACCAACUAUUGAUAUUUGACCUGUUUCAGUUGGAAUGGCUUCCUCAAUCCCAAAUGUAAGAUAAAGUUUGUUACUUUGAUUUAGUCGGAUAAUUUGUUGUUAAUAUUAACAAUGUUUUGUUUAUGUGUUGUAGUGGAGGGUUCGUACUUGUUUGGAUACAUCUUAUAUCAUUGCAAUGAAUCAUUUGUUGAGAGAAGAUCAUCUUCUACGAAUUUGUGACACACCUUUCAGGUGGUGUGUGUAUCUACGUGAAAAGGUGGACAUAAACUGUGAGUUAAUUAAGGUGAUGGUAUGUCGGUGGG
rnacentral:lncRNA from 1 species